UACGUAGGGUGCGAGCGUUAAUCGGAAUUACUGGGCGUAAAGCGUGCGCAGGCGGUUUUGUAAGCCAGAUGUGAAAUCCCCGGGCUUAACCUGGGAAUGGCAUUUGGGACUGCAAGGCUCGAGUGCGGCAGAGGAGACUGGAAUUCCUGGUGUAGCGGUGAAAUGCGUAGAUAUCAGGAGGAACACCUGUGGCGAAAGCGGCUCACUGGACCACAACUGACGCUGAUGCACGAAAGCUAGGGGAGCAAACAGG
rnacentral:rRNA from 1 species